CAGGACCGCGCGGAAGGCACAGGGGCGCGGGGGCGGGCGCAGUCUGACGCAUGCGCACCGGCGGCUGAAGUGCCGCUCAUGCGCAGUGCGCUCCUCCCCUUCGGCGGGGGGGGGGUUGCUGCUCUCCCCGGUGACCGGUGGCGCCGAGCGGGGGGAAACCGGGAGCGACCGUGCGGCGGGGGGGUUCCCCCCCCCCCGCACAGGCACCGGAAGCCGUUUGCACUGCACCGUUUAUUGCUGUGGGCCCAGUUAGCCGAGCUUGGGGGGGACCUGGUGGGGUCACUCCGGAGGCAGAGGACCGGAUGUGGGGUAUACCCCUGCAUACCCCACCUUCACCUGGCUUCCUGGUCAAGCAUGACCCAUUCAUGAGAACCCUCUGAGCUCCAUCAUCCAACCAGCUUUUUGCCCCUCUGCAUGUCUACUGGACAUCCACUACUCUCCUCUCCUCCACAAGUGCAGGUCUUUUAUCACAGAAGGCAAUCAGGUUGCUGAGGAAUGAUUUACCUUGGGUAACUCCAUGCCGACUGUUCCCAGGCACCUUCAGGAUGUGCCCAGAAAUGUAAUUGGAGAGGACUGGCUCCAUGACACACUCCUCACCAAUGUGAGGCUGAAUGGCCUGCAGCUCCCCAGGUUGUCCUUGUGGCCUUUUUUGAAGAUGGGCAGAACCUCUUCCUUUUUCUGCUUAUUGGGACUUCCCUUGAUCUCCACAACCUUUCAAAGAUGACAGCAAGCAGCCUUGCUGUCACAGCAGCCAGCUCUCUUUUUUCUCAUGUUCACAUGGAACUUCCUGUGUUUCAGUUUGUGCCCAUUGCCUCAUAUCCUGUCACUGGGCACCACCGAAAAGAGUCUGGCCCCAUCCUCUUGACACCCUCCCUUUAGAUAUUUGUAUACAUUGAUAAGAUCCCCUCUCAGUCUUCUCUUCUCUAGGCUAAACAGACCCAGCUCUCUCAGUCUUUCCUCAUAAGAGAGAUGUUCCAGUCCCCUAAUUAUCUUUGUAGCCCUUCGCUGCACUUGCUCCAGCAGUGCCACAUCCCUCUUGUACUAGGGAGCCCACAACUGGACACAGAACUCCAGAUGUGGCCUCAGCAGGGCUGAGGAGAGGGGGAGGAUCACCUCCUUUGACCUGCUGGCAACACUCUUCCUGAUGCACCCCAGGAUACCAUUGACCUUCUCGGCCACAAGGGCACAAUCCUGCCUCAUGGUUAACUUGGUGUCCACCAGCACUCCCAGGUCCUUCUCCACAGAGCUGCUUUCCAGCAGGUCAACCCCCARCCUGUMCUGSUGCMUGGGGUUAUUCCUCCCYAGGUGCAGGACCCUGCACUUGCCUUUGUUGAACUUCAUGAGGUUCCUCUCCGCCCACCUCUCCAGC
rnacentral:lncRNA from 1 species